AACGAACGCUGGCGGCAUGCCUAAUACAUGCAAGUCGAACGAGACCUUCGGGUCUAGUGGCGUACGGGUGCGUAACGCGUGGGAACCUGCCCUUAGGUUCGGAAUAACUCUCCGAAAGGGGUGCUAAUACCGGAUAAUGUCUACGGACUAAAGAUUUAUCGCCUUUGGAUGGGCCCGCGUUGGAUUAGCUAGUUGGUAGGGUAAAAGCCUACCAAGGCGACGAUCCAUAGCUGGUCUGAGAGGAUGAUCAGCCACACUGGGACUGAGACACGGCCCAGACUCCUACGGGAGGCAGCAGUGGGGAAUAUUGGACAAUGGGCGAAAGCCUGAUCCAGCAAUGCCGCGUGAGUGAUGAAGGCCUUAGGGUUGUAAAGCUCUUUUACCCGGGAUGAUAAUGACAGUACCGAGAGAAUAAGCUCCGGCUAACUCCGUG
rnacentral:rRNA from 1 species